rnacentral:rRNA from 1 species
CGAAGGGAAGCUGAGGACAGUGGCAACGGGUGAGUAACGCGUGAGCAACCUGCCUUUCAGUGGGGGACAACAGUUGGAAACGACUGCUAAUACCGGCAUAAUGCAUCGAAGCCGCAUGACUUUGAUGCCAAAGAUUUAUUGCUGAAAGAUGGGCUCGCGUCUGAUUAGAUAGUUGUGGGGUAACGGCCUACCAAGUCGACGAUCAGUAGCCGGACUGAGAGGUUGAACGGCCACAUUGGGACUGAGAUACGGCCCAGACUCCUACGGGAGGCAGCAGUGGGGGAAUAUUGGGCAAUGGGGGAAACCCUGACCCAGCAACGCCGCGUGGAGGAAGAAGGUUUUCGGAUCGUAAACUCCUGUCCUCAGGGAAGAGCAGAAGACGGUACCUGAGGAGGAAGCCCCGGCUAACUACGUG